GGGGGGUGCUAUACAUGCAGUCGAGCGAACAGAGAAGGAGCUUGCUCCUUCGACGUUAGCGGCGGACGGGUGAGUAACACGUGGGCAACCUACCUUAUAGUUUGGGAUAACUCCGGGAAACCGGGGCUAAUACCGAAUAAUCUGUUUCACCUCAUGGUGAAACACUGAAAGACGGUUUCGGCUGUCGCUAUAGGAUGGGCCCGCGGCGCAUUAGCUAGUUGGUGAGGUAACGGCUCACCAAGGCGACGAUGCGUAGCCGACCUGAGAGGGUGAUCGGCCACACUGGGACUGAGACACGGCCCAGACUCCUACGGGAGGCAGCAGUAGGGAAUCUUCCACAAUGGGCGAAAGCCUGAUGGAGCAACGCCGCGUGAGUGAAGAAGGAUUUCGGUUCGUAAAACUCUGUUGUAAGGGAAGAACAAGUACAGUAGUAACUGGCUGUACCUUGACGGUACCUUAUUAGAAAGCCACGGCUAACUACGUGCCAGCAGCCGCGGUAAUACGUAGGUGGCAAGCGUUGUCCGGAAUUAUUGGGCGUAAAGCGCGCGCAGGUGGUUUCUUAAGUCUGAUGUGAAAGCCCACGGCUCAACCGUGGAGGGUCAUUGGAAACUGGGAGACUUGAGUGCAGAAGAGGAUAGUGGAAUUCCAAGUGUAGCGGUGAAAUGCGUAGAGAUUUGGAGGAACACCAGUGGCGAAGGCGACUAUCUGGUCUGUAACUGACACUGAGGCGCGAAAGCGUGGGGAGCAAACAGGAUUAGAUACCCUGGUAGUCCACGCCGUAAACGAUGAGUGCUAAGUGUUAGGGGUUUCCGCCCCUUAGUGCUGCAGCUAACGCAUUAAGCACUCCGCCUGGGGAGUACGUCGCAAGACUGAAACUCAAGGAAUUGACGGGGCCGCACAAGCGGUGGAGCAUGUGUUUAAUUCGAAGCAACGCGAGAACCUUACCAGGUCUUGACAUCUCGUUGACCACUGUAGAAGAUAUUGUUUUCUCCCUUUGGGGCACGGUGACAGGGGGUGGACUGGGUUGUCCUCCCCCUCCCUGUCCUUGA
rnacentral:rRNA from 1 species